GGUUAGAGGUACGUCCCAGGGUAGAGGUGAAAUUCUGUAAUCCUGGGAGGACCGCCCGUUGCGAAGGCGUCUAACUGGAACGGUUCUGACGGUGAGGGACGAAAGUUAGGGGCGCGAACCGGAUUAGAUACCCGGGUAGUCCUAACUGUAAACGAUGCGGACUUGGUGUUGGGUGGCUUUGAGCUGCUCCAGUGCCGAAGGGAAGCCGUUAAGUCCGCCGCCUGGGAAGUACGGUCGCAAGACUGAAACUUAAGGAAUUGGCGGGGGAGCACCACGAACGCGUGGAGCCUGGCCGGUUUAAUUGGAUUCAACGCCGGACAUCUCACCAGAGGCGACAGCUGUAUGAUAGCCAGGUUGAUGACUUUGCUUGACUAGCUGAGGAGUGGUGCAUGG
rnacentral:rRNA from 1 species